UACAACAUAGAAUUAAUGCAAUGAAUCCCAUUAGAACUUUGUAGUUAAGCACGCUUAGGCUAGAGUAGUACUGUGAUGGGUGUCCGCUCAGGAAGUCCUAGUGUUUUAC
rnacentral:rRNA from 1 species